rnacentral:rRNA from 1 species
GUCUAGUAUAAGCAAUUAUACCGUGAAACUGCGAAUGGCUCAUUAAAUCAGUUAUCGUUUAUUUGAUAGUACCUUACUACUUGGAUAACCGUGGUAAUUCUAGAGCUAAUACAUGCUAAAAACCCCGACUUCGGGAGGGGUGUAUUUAUUAGAUAAAAAGCCAAUGCCCUUCGGGGCUCCUUGGUGAUUCAUGAUAACUUAACGGAUCGCAUGGCCUUGCGCCGGCGACGGUUCAUUCAAAUUUCUGCCCUAUCAACUUUCGAUGGUAAGGUAUUGGCUUACCAUGGUUUUAACGGGUAACGGAAAAUUAGGGUUUGACUCCGGAGAGGGAGCCUGAGAAACGGCUACCACAUCCAAGGAAGGCAGCAGGCGCGCAAAUUACCCAAUCCCGACACGGGGAGGUAGUGACAAUAAAUACUGAUACAGGGCUCUUUUGGGUCUUGUAAUCGGAAUGAGUACAAUUUAAACCCCUUAACGAGGAACAAUUGGAGGGCAAGUCUGGUGCCAGCAGCCGCGGUAAUUCCAGCUCCAAUAGCGUAUAUUAAAGUUGUUGCAGUUAAAAAGCUCGUAGUUGAACCUUGGGCCUGGCUGGCCGGUCCGCCUCACCGCGUGUACUGGUCCGGCCGGGCCUUUCCUUCUGGUGAGCCUCAUGCCCUUCACUGGGUGUGUUGGGGAGCCAGGACUUUUACUGUGAACAAAUUAGAGUGUUCAAAGCAGGCCUUUGCUCGAAUACAUUAGCAUGGAAUAAUAGAAUAGGACGUGCGGUCCUAUUUUGUUGGUUUCUAGGACCGCCGUAAUGAUUAAUAGGGAUAGUCGGGGGCAUCAGUAUUCAAUUGUCAGAGGUGAAAUUCUUGGAUUUAUUGAAGACUAACUACUGCGAAAGCAUUUGCCAAGGAUGUUUUCAUUAAUCAGUGAACGAAAGUUAGGGGAUCGAAGACGAUCAGAUACCGUCGUAGUCUUAACCGUAAACUAUGCCGACUAGGGAUCGGGCGGUGUUUCUAUCUUGACUCGCUCGGCACCUUACGAGAAAUCAAAGUUUUUGGGUCUGGGGGA